rnacentral:lncRNA from 1 species
UAUGGGUAUGUCAGCUGUCCCGUCAGCUGUUUCAUUUCGCGUGGCUUCGGAUUGAGGAUGGAUGCUUAAACGAAUGUAUCUGUUCUUGAAAUUUCACCACCGAUUCCGUGUGUUUUGAGCUGCGUCUUGUGAAUUCGAUAAAUGCAGAGUUUUUCAAGGAGGAGCAUGGUUUGGCUUUGCUAGCACGUUUUUCAUCUUCGUUAGUCUAAUACACUCAUUUUGACCAAGGUCUUCGGGAUGUACCUGAUGUACUGUGGUGGCCACAGAAUCAUUCAGUGACUUCGUUCAAUCCAGGACUUGGUUUUUUCAAAAGUGGUUUACAGUUUUCAUUUGCAGAGAUCCUUGAGGUACCUGAUGUGUUGCAUUGGCAUUGCAGUUAUUCGAUGACAGAAUGGAAUGCCACCAAUGUUAUGUUGUCAGUGUAAAUAAAAUGUAUUCAGUAUCA